AUUGAACGCUGGCGGCAUGCCUUACACAUGCAAGUCGAACGGUAACGCGGGGCAACCUGGCGACGAGUGGCGAACGGGUGAGUAAUGCAUCGGAACGUGCCCAGUAGUGGGGGAUAGCCCGGCGAAAGCCGGAUUAAUACCGCAUACGACCUACGGGUGAAAGGGGGGGAUCGCAAGACCCCUCGCUGUUGGAGCGGCCGAUGUCAGAUUAGGUAGUUGGUGGGGUAAAGGCCCCCAAAGCCUGCGAUCUGUAGCUGGUCUGAGAGGACGACCAGCCACACUGGGACUGAGACACGGCCCAGACUCCUACGGGAGGCAGCAGUGGGGAAUUUUGGACAAUGGGCGCAAGCCUGAUCCAGCCAUGCCGCGUGCGGGAAGAAGGCCUUCGGGUUGUAAACCGCUUUUGUCAGGGAAGAAACGCUCUGGGCUAAUACCUCGGGGUAAUGACGGUACCUGAAGAAUAAGCACCGGCUAACUACGUGCCAGCAGCCGCCGUAA
rnacentral:rRNA from 1 species